UACGUAGGGUGCAAGCGUUGUCCGGAAUUAUUGGGCGUAAAGAGCUCGUAGGCGGCUUGUCACGUCUGCUGUGAAAGCCUGGGGCUCAACUCCAGAAUUGCCUUUGAAACGGGAUUGCUUGAGUCCGAGAGAGGAUGGCGGAAUUCCUAGUGUAGAGGUGAAAUUCGUAGAUAUUAGGAAGAACACCGGUGGCGAAGGCGGCCAUCUGGCUCGGUACUGACGCUCAGGCGCGAAAGCGUGGGGAGCAAACAGG
rnacentral:rRNA from 1 species